rnacentral:rRNA from 1 species
AGAUUAAACUCAAAGAAUUGACGGGGCCGCACAAGCGGUGGAGCAUGUGGUUAAUUCGAAGCAACGCGCAGAACCUUACCUACCCUUGACAUGUCCAGUAUGGUCACCAGAGAUGGAGACCUUCAGUUCGGCUGGCUGGAACACAGGUGCUGCAUGGCUGUCGUCAGCUCGUGUCGUGAGAUGUUGGGUUAAGUCCCGCAACGAGCGCAACCCUCGCUUCUAGUUGCCAGCAUUCAGUUGGGCACUCUAGAGGGACUGCCGGUGAUAAGCCGGAGGAAGGUGGGGAUGACGUCAAGUCCUCAUGGCCCUUACGGGUAGGGCUACACACGUGCUACAAUGGCGGUGACAGUGGGCAGCGACACAGCGAUGUGAUGCUAAUCCCAAAAAGCCGUCUCAGUUCAGAUUGCAGCCUGCAACUCGGCUGCAUGAAGUUGGAAUCGCUAGUAAUCGCUAAUCAGCAGGUAGCGGUGAAUACGUUCCCGGGCCUUGUACACACCGCCCGUCACACCAUGGGAGUUGGUCAUACCUGAAGACGGUGUUCUAACCCGCAAGGGAGGAAGCCGGCCACGGUGUGGUCAGCGACUGGGGUG